rnacentral:misc_RNA from 1 species
AUUUUGCAGAUGGUUUAAUAGUUAUAAGAUUUUAGUUAAGCCCUUAAUCCAAAUUUAAUUUACUUUUUGCUAACACUACUUCUUUUGAUAUCUGGCAGUGUAGGAAGAAGCUUGAAGCGAUUUUCAGAUUGGAGCUAGAGAAAGAGGAAAAUAAUGGAGGGCUGAUGCAGAUGAAAAAUGAUGAGGGUAAUCAAUUGAGUUAGGUGCUAGAUAACAUUAUCACCCUUGUCAUUGGUGG